AAGUUGUUGCAGUUAAAAAGCUCGUAGUCGAAUGAAGGUUUCUUGUAUAGCGCGGACGUCUAGGUGUAACUUAGAUUAGUUUGCGCACAAGAACCUCCCUUGUGUGUCUCAGAGGAGCAAAUAUUUAUUUAUUUUGAUCCAUUUGUGACACACACAUUACUGUGAACAAAAUAGAGUGUUCAUGGCAGGUCAAUUUAGGCUUGAAUACCUCAGCAUGGAAUAAUAGAAUAGGACUUCCGGUUCUAUUUUGUUGGUUUUUGGAGCCGAAGUAAUGAUUAAUAGGGAUAGUUGGGGGCACUCGUACUCCGUUGUCAGAGGUGAAAUUCUAGGAUUGACGGAAGACGAACAACUGCGAAAGCAUCUGCCAAGGAUGUUUUCAUUGAUCAAGAACGAAAGUUAGGGGAUCGAAGACGAUUAGAUACCGUCGUAGUCCUAACCAUAAACUAUGCCGACUGGGGAUUGGUAGAUGUACCAAACACGACUCUAUCAGCACCCUAUGAGAAAUCAAGGUCUUUGGGUUCUGGGGGGAGUAUGGUCGCAAGGC
rnacentral:rRNA from 1 species